CCACCGAGACCAGAAUCCUGUGCUAGAGUUUGGCCUGGUCAGCGCUGACUCCACAUGGGCUCCAGGCUCCUCUGCUGUGUGGCCCUCUGCCUCCUGGGAGCAGGCCCCUUGGACACGGCGGUUUCCCAGACUCCCAAAUACCUCGUCACACGGGUGGGAAAUAAGAUGUCCCUAAAAUGUGAACAAAAUCUGAGCCAUAAUGCCAUGUACUGGUAUAAGCAAGACUCCAAGCAAUUGCUGAAAAUCAUGUUUUCCUACAGUAAUAAGGAAGUCAUUGUAAACGAAACAAUUCCAAUUCGUUUCUCACCUGAAUCUCCUGACAAUGCUCAUUUAAACCUUCAUGUCGACUCCCUGGAGCCCGGCGACUCCGCUGUGUAUUUCUGUGCCAGCAGCAAAGACACAGCCCUGCAAAGUCACUGCCUCCCUGUGCACAAACCCCCUGGCCCAGCCAGGAAGCUGUGGGGACAACAUGUUCACCCGAUCCUGAGGCUCCAAUCACCCCAUGAGACAUCUGGCUUGAGUUUCAGUCUGUAG